GUGUGUGUCUGCUAGUGAGUGUUAGUGUGUGAGUGUUAGUGAGUGUUAGUGUGUGUGUGUGUCUGCUAGUGAGUGUUAGUGUGUGUGUGUGUCUGCUAGUGAGUGUCAGUGAGUGUGUUACUGUGUGUGUCUUACUGACUGUGUGUGUGUGUUAGUGAGUCUGUUUGAUGUCUGUUAGUGAGUGUGUGUUUGUCAAUGAGAG